UUUCCUUAUGUCAUGAUCGAUUCUGUUUUGUUCGCGAAGAGGAGCACGGAGAUGAUCUUUACAAGUCAAAUCUCAGAUUCUUUUGUCCUAGAUCCAGGUUAUAGAGACAUCUUUCAAUGUUAAAUGUUAUGAUCUGUUGACUCAUGUUUAUCGGAUGGUUCGUGAGAUGUAGAUCCAAUUGAAAGAAAGAGGUCCUGUCUUGGGCGAUCAUCAAUCAUCAUAGCGGCGUUUAAGCGUUGACUCUGUGUUUGUUUGAACACACAAUGCAGCUUCGGUGGUGGUAUAUGCUAAAUUCGAUUCAUCCGAUCUUCGGUUUGUCUUCUUGCGAAAUUAUGAAGCAAUUCAAUGAAUUAAGGAACUGGUGCACGCCUUCAUCAAUUAAUACCAUAUUACCAAUUAGCGAGUCCCAAUGAGAAGUAAGGCUUGAAGGAUAAAUGUGAGAAGUUUUGGAAGAUUUAAAGAUGAUGCUGGACGUGGAUGUUCUAUUAGAUAUGGUUGUUCCACGGUUGUGUUCUAUAUGAUCUUUUGUGUUCCUCGGACCUUUGCCAUGUCAGGUGCGCUUGCUUGGCAGGUCAAUCAUAUAAUAAAAGUGUCUUUCUUUUUGUGGAGGGAGAUCGCAUGGGGAUUGCCCAGGGUCUCUGCCUUCACCGUGUUUUGCGUGUGUGUGUGUGUUUUAUUCUGUCUCUUCCUUUACCGUCUUACUGUCCUGCGAAUCCGAUCAACAUUCACUAGCACCAUCUGCAUGCAUUCACUCUCCAAUUACCUACAGAUAAGAUUAAUUUUAACGCCAUCAUGCUUCAAUAUCUGGAAGGUAAUAACAUUUAACAUUGUACGAUUCUAAAUCAAAUACAUUAAUGCCAUUGAUAUCUCUUAUAACGAUGUUGAAAUAUGUUGUGUAUUAAGAGUCCUCUCUUCUAAAUCAAGAUUUCUGUGGGUUGGUAUAAGAUUACCUCCACUUGGUUCCAUUGGUGGUAUGUAAUCAAAAACUUGUUUCAGUUAUAAUCUUCAAACAUGUGAAUCUUUUAAUAAGUUGUAAAUGAACAAGCUUGAAAAGGGUUUCUGUAAUAAGAAUAUCUGCUUGCCUAAUUGG